AUACGGAAGGUCCGGGCGUUAUCCGGAUUUAUUGGGUUUAAAGGGAGCGCAGGCGGAGAUGCAAGCGUGACGUCAAAUUUCGGGGCUCAACCCCGUCUCGCGUCGCGAACUGCGUCCCUUGGUUGCGGGAAGGGGUGGCGGAACACGGGGGGUGGCGGGUGAAGGCAUAGAUAUUACGAAGAACUCGGAUCGCGAAGGCAGCCUUCCGGCCCGUCAACGACGCUCAUGCUCGAAGGUGCGGGUAUCAAACAGGAUUAGAUACCCUGGUAGUCCGCACAGUAAACGAUGGACACCCGCGGUUUGGCCUAUAUGGCUGAGCCGCCAAGCGAAAGCGUUAAGUGUCCCACCUGGGGAGUACGCCGGCAACGGUGAAACUCAAAUGAAUUGGCGGGG
rnacentral:rRNA from 1 species